CAGUUUCAAAACUGAUGGCUCUAAUCCACACCUACACUUUCCUGGGUCUCGGCAUCAACAUCUUUCCUGUCUGAGUAUUCACUUGCCAGAAAACGUUUUUUUAUUUUUUUACAGCGCCUGAAAGAUUGAGACCUCCGUCGCGUUCAGUCUUGGGUGAAUUACAAGUCUCUCUGAAAUGGCUGCUGAGUGCCAGUGAAGGAUGCCUUUCAACAAGAUGGGGGAUUUCCAGCAACUUGAGAGGAUUGUUUUGGAAACAGAAAGAUCAUGCACGGCCAAUCUGGAGGUAAUCAUAUCUACCUACGGGGGAAGGAUGGCCAACCACACAAGAGGGUGAUUUUUGCUAAGGAGGAGAAGGAGGCCGUGCUGACUGUGACGCUUGCUGGCCAAUUCAGUGAAGCGCCUGAUUGCCAAAAUCAACCUACGCUUCUUCUGACAGGGAAUUGUCAAGGAGGUGGACAGCUGGGUAAGUACCUGUCUAGCCUGCCAGAAGUUUGAGAGGGUGAAGACUGUGGCGCCGGAGUUGAAGCCCAUCAAAGUUGUUUCACCAUGGCACAUGGACGGGAUGGACCUCAUCGGCCCCUUCACGAAAUCCAGGAAAGGCAACAGCUGGUGUCUGACGGCAACCGAUCACUUUACCAAGUGGAUUGAGACCACCUCCAAGGAUAUGGUGGACAUCUUCAACACCCACGGUUCUCCUGAGGUCAUCUUGAGUGACCGAGGACAUUAACCCUGGAACAAGGUACGGAUGUCAAAGGUUGUAUUCUGUCACCAAUGGUUUGUUUGAUUUAUUUUGUUACAAUCUGUUUUUGUUUUUCCAUGGUAGAUAAUCAGACAUAUUUCAAUAUCUUACAUUGUCAAUAGAUAUCGCUUUCCUACCCCCUCCUCCAGGUUUGGUGAAUGGACCAACCAGACCCUAGUGAUUGACUUAGUGUUGUUUGUCUAUGGCUAUUUUUGCAUAACGAUCUUUCAGAUCACUGAAACCCCACCUGAUGUGGUGGAAGUUGUCGAACCAGAUCAGAACGCCUUCGAGAAUGACCUUCAGACACGGACUGAGAAGGAUGUGGAGGUCUUUGACCAUGUGAGACUGAACAUGGACAAGGCGCAGGAGAAACAGGAGGAGAGCUACCGGAGCAGAGUCAAGAAGGGGACCAAGUGCUACGACAUCCGGGCGAAUUACUUGCUUUGGAAGAAGGACGAAAGGAAGGCAGAGACCUUGGAAACCUCGCUGCUCCUAGCUGUGGUCACCAUCUGUUAAAGAAGCCAACUAUCUUCUACAGUUGGAGCAGUUGGACGGUCUACCACUGGAAGCAUUGACGCCCUACACUUCAGUGAAGCCCAAAUGACAAAGACCAUCGACUGUCCGAGCCCCCCAGGAGGUAUCCCAUCUACCAGAACCAGUGAGUUCGGAUCAGUCUGAUUCUCUGUGCUCUGAGUCGGAGGGGGACCAGCUUGAGGUAGGCUACACCUUCCAGAAGUGUUGAAAAGUACAUAUCUCUGCGUUAAUCCAUCAAAUGUUCUCACAGUAAAGUGUAACCUGUGUGUUUGCUUGUUUACGUCUGUCUCCUACCAUGUUCCCUUUAACUCUGCUUCUGUUCUCCAAGAGCUAGGGGUUUUGGCCAACACCCAGAUCAACCUGAUGUCCUCCAUUACCAACCACCUUCCAACUUUUCAUUACAUCAUCUACAGCUACUGUUGUCAUUACAUCAUCUACAGCUACAGUUGUCAUUAUCUGCUAAGAAAGUUGUCUUGCUCUAUCAUACUGGGCACAUAAUAUGUGAGAGACACAGAUGAACUAAAAACACUAGCACUGCAAAUACUCUGAACAAAGCGAACAGCAGUGCCUGGACUUUGCAGUCUCUUUCAAGUCCCCCUUCUGAGACUGGGUGCCUGUUGAGAACAAGUGACAGGCAGAAUCUCCCACCCACACAGCAACCACCUCCACUAUAUUCCACACAUCAGAAUGAUGGAUUUAGUCUAUGAUUGCCAUGUGAAAAUAAAUUAAUGACAACUGUACCAAAAAAUAUCAAGGUUUCUGUGUUCCAAUCUUAAAUAUUGACGGGUUGGUUUUCACAAGAUGUUCAUUGAAUUUAGUAAAUCCUGCCGUAGGGAUAGCGUGCCUCUCACAGGUGAGGGCAACGACCUCUUCCUUGAGUCUGAUAGCUGAUCCCUCCUUUGUUCUAGCAAGACCCACACAGUAGUACACACCACCACACUCACUGUCACUUGUCUGCCUCUUUUAUUCUUUUUGCUAUUUGAUUUAGAAUUUUCAGACCACUUGAAGUAUCAAAAAAAUGUGGGCCUUUAUGCUAUUAGCCUAUACAUACGCAUUGAAUAACAGAUUCACUACAUGGAACAACAUGUCCCCCCCCAAACAUUUUUUUAAAAGGAAGUGUCCUAUUUCUGAGAAGACCAGGGAACAUUUUUAUUUUAUACAUGUAUCUAACCUUUACAUGGAUCUAAUUUUUGUCAGUCCACAGUCUCCAUAUAUACUGUACUUCCAUAAAUGUUUUAUACUGGUAUCAGGGACUGUAUUUAUUAACCUAUCAAAUAUUGUAGUUGGGCAACAUAUGAGAUGUGAAUAUAAAACAUUUCAUUCUUAA